rnacentral:rRNA from 1 species
AAUCAACGCUGGCGGCGUGCCUAACACAUGCAAGUCGAACGCGAGAGGGGCUUCGGCCCUGAUUGAGUGGCAAACGGGUGAGUAACGCGUGGGUGACCUACCUUCGAGUGGGGGAUAACGUUCCGAAAGGGACGCUAAUACCGCAUAACAUCCUGUCUUUGGACAGAUGGAGAUCAAAGCCGGGGAGUCGUAAGACCUGGCGCUUGAGGAGGGGCCCGCGUCCGAUUAGCUAGUUGGUGGGGAAUGGCUCACCAAGGCAACGAUCGGUAGCCGGCCUGAGAGGGCGGACGGCCACACUGGGACUGAGACACGGCCCAGACUCCUACGGGAGGCAGCAGUGGGGAAUUGUUCGCAAUGGGCGCAAGCCUGACGACGCAACGCCGCGUGAAGGAUGAAGGUC